UUAGUGGAAGCGUCUGGAAAGUCGCACGAUACAGGGUGAAAGUCCCGUACACAAAAGUGCAUGUGUUGUGAACUCGAAGAGUAGGGCGGGACACGUGGUAUCCUGUCUGAAUAUGGGGGGACCAUCCUCCAAGGCUAAAUACUCCUGACUGACCGAUAGUGAACCAGUACCGUGAGGGAAAGGCGAAAAGAACCCCGGCGAGGGGAGUGAAAAAGAACCUGAAACCGUGUACGUACAAGCAGUGGGAGCACCCUUUGGGGUGUGACUGCGUACCUUUUGUAUAAUGGGUCAGCGACUUAUAUUCUGUAGCAAGGUUAACCGAAUAGGGGAGCCGAAGGGAAACCGAGUCUUAACUGGGCGUUAAGUUGCAGGGUAUAGACCCGAAACCCGGUGAUCUAGCCAUGGGCAGGUUGAAGGUUGGGUAACACUAACUGGAGGACCGAACCGACUAAUGUUGAAAAAUUAGCGGAUGACUUGUGGCUGGGGGUGAAAGGCCAAUCAAACCGGGAGAUAGCUGGUUCUCCCCGAAAGCUAUUUAGGUAGCGCCUCGUGAACUCAUCUUCGGGGGUAGAGCACUGUUUCGGCUAGGGGGUCAUCCCGACUUACCAACCCGAUGCAAACUGCGAAUACCGAAGAAUGUUAUCACGGGAGACACACGGCGGGUGCUAACGUCCGUCGUGAAGAGGGAAACAACCCAGACCGCCAGCUAAGGUCCCAAAGUCAUGGUUAAGUGGGAAACGAUGUGGGAAGGCACAGACAGCCAGGAUGUUGGCUUAGAAGCAGCCAUCAUUUAAAGAAAGCGUAAUAGCUCACUGGUCGAGUCGGCCUGCGCGGAAGAUGUAACGGGGCUAAACCAUGCACCGAAGCUGCGGCAGCGACACUAUGUGUUGUUGGGUAGGGGAGCGUUCUGUAAGCCGUUGAAGGUGUAUCGUGAGGUAUGCUGGAGGUAUCAGAAGUGCGAAUGCUGACAUAAGUAACGAUAAUGCGGGUGAAAAACCCGCACGCCGGAAGACCAAGGGUUCCUGUCCAACGUUAAUCGGGGCAGGGUGAGUCGACCCCUAAGGCGAGGCCGAAAGGCGUAGUCGAUGGGAAACAGGUUAAUAUUCCUGUACUUGGUGUUACUGCGAAGGGGGGACGGAGAAGGCUAUGUUAGCCGGGCGACGGUUGUC
rnacentral:rRNA from 1 species